AUUUAAUAGGAGAACACAGUCUGAAAUCAGCCACAUCAGUGAUCCAGAUCAUUCUAUUCAUUAAUCUGGUUACUGUUCUGUAUAUGACUGUAGGUCUAUAUCUAGCUACUGUUCUGUAUAUGACUGUAGGUCUAUAUCUAGCUACCCCUCUGUAUAUGACUGUAGGUCUAUAUCUAGCUACUGUUCUGUAUAUGACUGUAGGUCUAUAUCUAGCUACCCCCCUGUAUAUGACUGUAGGUCUAUAUCUAGAUACUGUUCUGUAUCUGACUGUAGGUCUAUAUCUAGCUACCCCCCUGUAUAUGACUUUAGGUCUAUAUCUAGCUACCCCCCUGUAUAUGACUGUAGGUCUAUAUCUAGCUACCCCCCUGUAUAUGACUGUAGGUCUAUAUCUAGCUACUGUUCUGUAUCUGACUGUAGGUCUAUAUCUAACUACCCCCUGUAUAUGACUGUAGGUCUAUAUCUAGCUACUGUUCUGUAUCUGACUGUAGGUCUAUAUCUAGUUACUGUUCUGUAUCUGACUGUAGGUCUAUAUCUAGCUACCCCCCUGUAUAUGACUGUAGGUCUAUAUCUAGCUACCCCCCUGUAUAAGACUGUAGGUCUAUAUCUAGCUACCCCCCUGUAUAUGACUGUAGGUCUACAUCUAACUAUCCCCCUGUAUAUGACUGUAGGUCUAUAUCUAACUACCCCCCUGUAUAUGACUUUAGGUCUAUAUCUAGCUACCCCC
ensembl:lncRNA